ACGAACGCUGGCGGUGUGCUUAACACAUGCAAGUCGAACGGUAAGGCCCUUUCGGGGGUACACGAGUGGCGAACGGGUGAGUAACACGUGAGUAACCUGCCCUCAUCUCUGGGAUAACAGUCGGAAACGGUUGCUAAUACUGGAUAUGAGCUUGCAAGGCAUCUUGUGGGUUGGAAAGAUUUUUUUGGUUGGGGAUGGACUCGCGGCCUAUCAGCUUGUUGGUGAGGUAGUGGCUCACCAAGGCUUCGACGGGUAGCCGGCCUGAGAGGGCGACCGGCCACAUUGGGACUGAGAUACGGCCCAAACUCCUACGGGAGGCAGCAGUGGGGAAUAUUGCACAAUGGACGGAAGUCUGAUGCAGCAACGCCGCGUGCGGGAUGACGGCCUUCGGGUUGUAAACCGCUUUCAAUUGUGACGAAGCUUUUUUGUGACGGUAGCAGUAGAAGAAGCACCGGCUAACUACGUG
rnacentral:rRNA from 1 species